GCAUAUCAAUAAGCGGAGGAAAAGAAAUAACAAUGAUCCUUAGUAACGGCGAGUGAAGGGGGUAAGCUCAAUUUUAAAUCUGCUGGUUUUACCUGUCAGAGUUGUAUUUUGAAGAAGCGUUUUCCGCGUCUCGGUUGACCCAAAUCCUUUGGGAUAAGGUAUCAUGGAGGGUGAGAAUCCCGUCCGGUCGACCUUAUGACGCUUUACGAUACGUUUUCAAAGAGUCGAGUUGUUUGGGAUUGCAGCUCAAAAUGGGAGGUAAAUUUCUCCUAAGGCUAAAUAUUGGCGAGAGACCGAUAGCGAACAAGUACCGUGAGGGAAAGAUGAAAAGAACUUUGAAAAGAGAGUAAAAUAGUACGUGAAAUUGUUGAAAGGGAAACGAUUGAAGUCAGUCGUACCGACGAGAAAUCAGCUCUUUGAGUGUGGACUUGUGGGCGUGCGUGAGCUUUACGGUCUCGCUGUUUGCAAUGUUUGUGCUUUUUGGGUGUACUUUUUCGUAUGGUAGGCCAACAUCAGUUUCGAAUAUCAUAAAAUGACCGGCGGAAUGUAGCUUCGAUCUCGUAUUGAAGUGUUAUAGCCUCUGGUAGAUGUGGUGUUUGGGACUGAGGAUUGCAACGAAUAUCCUUUGGGCUAUCCGUCUGAUCUCUGAAAGUUGCUUAGGUGCCGAAAGCGUGCUUACGGUUAUUUAAGUUGACGGUCAAAAGGUUAGAACGUGAUUACAUUCGUUAAGGAUGUUGACGUAAUGGCUUUAAACGAC
rnacentral:rRNA from 1 species